UACGUAGGCAGCGAGCGUUGUUCGGAAUUACUGGGCGUAAAGGGCGCGUAGGCGGCCUGCUAAGUCGAACGUGAAAUCCCCGGGCUCAACCCGGGAACUGCGUCCGAUACUGACAGGCUUGAGUCCGGGAGAGGGAUGCGGAAUUCCAGGUGUAGCGGUGAAAUGCGUAGAUAUCUGGAGGAACACCGGUGGCGAAGGCGGCAUCCUGGACCGGCAUUGACGCUGAGGCGCGAAAGCCAGGGGAGCAAACGGG
rnacentral:rRNA from 1 species